AGCAGGUUUGUCUGCCAGAAACUCCUUGGCUCCUUGGUCUAGUUUCUUAUUUUUCUAGCUAGAGUAAUUUUGGUCAGAUAAUUUA
ensembl:snoRNA LOC120103269 small nucleolar RNA SNORA5